CAACUUUACUGAGAAAAAGGUCAAGAUUGCCUUAUGAGGGAUUGUAGGGGAUAAGGCCCCUGGCCUGAUGGUUAUGGAAGCAAAUCCUUUAAGGAUUGUUGGGAAGUAGUGAGUGCAGACCUGAUUGAUGGGUUGAUGGAAUUCUUCUGAAUAGGGAAAAUGUUUAAGGCUUGGAAUACUAAAGUGCUAACCAUGAUCCCCA
rnacentral:lncRNA from 1 species